rnacentral:lncRNA from 1 species
CUUGGAUCCACAGCCGCAGUUUGGGUGGCUGUAACCCUGCCCAGGAGGGCGGGGCGUUUGCCUGCUUCGUAGAGCAGGAGGUCUGGGUCUGCAGCCACGGUUUGGGCAGCUGCAGCGGCACCCAGGGAGCUACUGCCCCAGCUCAGAAGGGAUGGGGCUCCCACCGGCUCCAUGGAGUGUGCAGCCCACCGCUCUGCCUUCCUGCUGCCAUCAGUAUCUCCAGCAAUCCAAAUGGACUAAGACAGAAAUGUUAUAAUUUAAAGGAGACUGAAGAGACGUGAUGACUUAAUGUAACAUGUGACCCUCAAUCGGAUCCAGAAGAUAUGGAGGUGUGCCACCCAGAUACCCCUGCAACGGGCUGCCUCCUACCGAGAAUGUGGCCAGCAGACGGCCCCUGCUAUUUGCUCUUCGGGAUCUGCUUUGGCUGGAGAGCUGCCUUGCCCAAGACAACAUGGGACACCGAAUGACAGCUGACAGAAAACCAUAAUCGAUAAAUGGCUGAUGCCUAAAUAGUGAGAGGAACUAAGAUUAAUGAUCUGUUUCUUUGGUUGUCUUUAUAAUGGAACCAAGCAUUAAGGAACUUACUUUGUGUUUUGUCUAUAAAGAGUAGAAACUUUUUGCUCACAAGGCAUAACUAUCUCACAUUUUUCUCAUUAUAAAAGCAAUCUCAUGGUACUGGACAGGGGAGAAAAUAAAAUAAUCACUCAUAUUUCUAUUAUUCCAACAAUGCAUGUGAUUAAUUGGUGAGUUUCUUUUCACUCUUUCUGCACAUUAAAAAAACCUGUGUUUAAUUGUAAGAUAUACACAUCCUACUUUAGCUGUAACAUAUAAAAAUGUUUUUAUCUAUACUCUUAGCCAUACCUAUUCCCGGAUGUCCUAUUAUUUAUUUACACAAUAUCCUACUGUUCUACAUGGUUGCUUUAUUUCACCUCUUAACAAUACCUGCAUUUUCAGACAGGCAGACGUCAACUGUACUAUCAAAGGAAGCUCUAUUAGCAUCCCCCAUUCAAAUUUUAUAGCUAAAUGGUUCUAAGUUAUUUCCUAAACACUCUUGACCCAUUCUUGUUUGGCGAUUUCUCUUACAUUGUGAAUUUAGAUUUUAAGCAUUAAUCUCCAGAAGAGCCUAAUGAAGUAGGUAUCAUGUUUUUUUGUGGGCAGAGAUGAAUCUGUUAUUCGGUGGCAAGGAUUAAACCCAGGUUGGUCUGACUCUAAAUGUGCGUCCUUCUCAUUCCAUGAAGCGCUUUACAUACUCACACAGUGUUCCCUGUUUGGGCUCUAGUUUCUCAUAUGUGACUCUAUCAUUAAAAUAAAAUUUGAGUGAGUGAAUAAAGAUUACCUUUGAA